AAUGACUUCCUUGAGAGUCCUGUUCCCCUUUCACCAAUGCACAGACCCAGAAGACCCCUCCGUCCUGCAGGAUCGGCCAUGAGCAUCGGCCUCCUGUGCUGUGCAGCCUUUUUUCUCCUGUGGGCAGGUCCAGUGAAUGCCGGUGUCACUCAGACCCCAAAAUUCCAUGUCCUGAAGACAGGACAGAGCAUGACACUGCAGUGUGCCCAGGAUAUGAACCAUGACUACAUGUCCUGGUAUCGACAAGACCCAGGCAUGGGGCUGAGGCUGAUUCAUUACUCAGCUGGUGCUGGUAUCACUGACAAAGGAGAAGUCCCCAAUGGCUACAAUGUCUCCAGAUUAAACACGGAGGAUUUCCAGCUCAGACUGGAGUCAGCUGCUCCCUCCCAGACAUCUGUGUACUUCUGUGCCAGCAGUUACUCCACAGCGCUGCAAGGCUGUCUCCUCUCUGCACAUAAAGACAGGGAGUCUCUGCCCUCCUCCCUCACCCAAGAUUCAGCGAUGCCCUGGGCAGAGUUUUCUACACCAGUAUCCUUGGAACCCCAAGUGGCCCCAAGUGACCCGGACAGGGCACUGUUGGUGCAUCCUACAGGACAUGCCCAGCAGACAGAAGAGCAGCUGUGGGGUGGCAAGAUGAACUCAGAGAUGCAGCCUGAGGCCUCCGGGUCCAGACAGCUCUGGAGCCCAGAGCAAUGA